rnacentral:rRNA from 1 species
GACGAACCGUGCGAACGUUGUUCGGAAUCACUGGGCUUAAAGGGCGCGUAGGCGGGUCAUCAAGUCCGGGGUGAAAGCCCCCAGCUUAACUGGGGAAGGGCCUUGGAUACUGAUGAUCUCGAGGGGGGUAGGGGCAGUGGGAACUUCCGGUGGAGCGGUGAAAUGCGUUGAUAUCGGAAGGAACGCCGGUGGCGAAAGCGCACUGCUGGACCUUUUCUGACGCUGAGGCGCGAAAGCCAGGGGAGCAAACGGG